UACGGAGGGUGCAAGCGUUAAUCGGGAAUUACUGGGCGUAAAGCGCGCGUAGGUGGUUUGAUAAGCGAGAUGUGAAAGCCCCCGGGCUUAACCUGGGAACGGCAUUUCGAACUGUCAGGCUAGAGUGUGGUAGAGGGUAGUGGAAUUUCCUGUGUAGCGGUGAAAUGCGUAGAUAUAGGAAGGAACACCAGUGGCGAAGGCGGCUACCUGGACCAACACUGACACUGAGGUGCGAAAGCGUGGGGGAGCAAACAGG
rnacentral:rRNA from 1 species